UAAGGUCCUAGCUUAAUUAAAGCACCCGAGUUGCAUUUGGGGGAUGCAGGGUAGUGGCCUGCGGACUUUA
rnacentral:tRNA from 1 species